rnacentral:rRNA from 1 species
CGAACCGUCCGAACGUUAUUCGGAAUCACUGGGCUUAAAGGGUGCGUAGGCGGCGCAGAAAGUUGGGUGUGUAAUCCCUCGGCUUAACCGAGGAACUGCGCCCAAAACUACUGUGCUCGAGGGAGAUAGAGGUGAGCGGAACUUAGGGUGGAGCGGUGAAAUGCGUUGAUAUCCUAAGGAACACCGGUGGCGAAAGCGGCUCACUGGAUCUUUUCUGACGCUGAGGCACGAAAGCUAGGGUAGCGAACGGGAUUAGAUACCCCGGUAGUCCUAGCCGUAAACGAUGAGCACUGGAUUGGAGGGUCCUCCAUAGCCUUCCGGUCGCAGCGAAAGUGUUAAGUGCUCCGCCUGGGGAGUAUGGUCGCAAGGCUG